rnacentral:rRNA from 1 species
GGCCUUUAUACCUAUGGCUACACACGUGCUACAAUGGCCGGCACAAAGCGCUGCAAACCCGUGAGGGGGAGCCAAUCGCAAAAAACCGGCCUCAGUUCAGAUCGAGGUCUGCAACUCGACCUCGUGAAGGCGGAAUCGCUAGUAAUCCCGGAUCAGCACGCCGGGGUGAAUACGUUCCCGGGCCUUGUACACACCGCCCGUCACACCACGAAAGUUUGUUGUACCUGAAGUCGUCGACGCCAACCGCAAGGAGGCAGACGCCCACGGUAUGACCGAUGAUUGGGGUGAAGUCGUAACAAGUGUAGCCGUAGGGGAACCUGCGGCUGGAUCACCUCCUUAAUCUAGAUGCAUCGCGAGUUACGC